CCUACGGGAGUCAGCAGUGGGGAAUAUUGGACAAUGGGGGGAACCCUGAUCCAGCGACGCCGCGUGAGUGAAGAAGUAUUUCGGUAUGUAAAGCUCUAUCCGCAGGGAAGAAAGGAAUGACGGUACCUGACUAAUAAGCCCCGGCUAACUACGUGACAGAAGCCGCGGUAAUACGUAGGGGCCAAGCGUUAUCCGGAUUUACUGGGUGUAAAGGGAGCGUAGACGGUUACGCAAGGAUGGAGUGAAAGGUGGGGGCCCAACCCCCGGACUGCUUUGGAAAGUGUAUAACUGGAGUGCAGGAGAGGUAAGUGGCAGUCCUAGGGUAGCGGUGAAAUGCGUAGAUAGUAGGAGGAAAACCAGUGGCGAAGGCGGCUUACUGGACUGUAACUGACGUUGAGGCUCGAAAGCGUGGGGAGCAAACAGGAUUAGAUACCCGUGUAGUC
rnacentral:rRNA from 1 species